GUCUUAGCUCAGUGGCAGAGCACUGGUCUUGUAAACCAGGGG
rnacentral:tRNA from 1 species